GACCUAGUGGCGAAAUGAAUCGCGCCCUCACUUGUUGAGGACUUGUCAUGCGCGAUACUCGAGGGAGUCCCUGGUUCGAAUCCGGGCUAAAUCG